GAUAAUUCCAGUAAGUCUUGAAUCUCAAGAAGGAUUUCUCUGUAAAGGCAGUUUGAGCUAGUAGGGUAAAACCCUGCAAACUGGUGAUGUAAAAACCUGAGUUAUUGGAAUAUCUCUUGAUUUCAGUGAAGCUGGUAGAGAUUUUGAUUUUCAGGUGAAGAUUGGAAUGUAAUCAUCAGCUGGAAUGGAGGAGCAGAAACUGAAAAGUGCUAGCCUUUCCAUACUCCUCUUUCAUCAGGCUGAAAGUUUGAAACUGUGGUGAUGACAAGGAUUUUCAAAGGCUGAGAGGAGGUGGCUGGUUCUUCGAA
rnacentral:lncRNA from 1 species